GCGGUUGUCGUCCAAAGGUAGGACUCCAGCCUUCCAAGCUGGUUAUAUCAGUUCGAAUCUGAUCAACCGCU
rnacentral:tRNA from 1 species